rnacentral:rRNA from 1 species
GAUGAACGCUGGCGGCGUGCCUAAUACAUGCAAGUCGAGCGGCGCGGGGACAGGUGUGUAACAUGUGGAUAACAUCCUAUAAGACUGGGAUAACUUCGGGAAACCGGAGCUAAUACGGAUACUUCUAGCUGGAUCCGCGGUGCUUUAGCUGGUUGGUCAGGUAACGGCUUACCAAGGCCACGAUGCAUAGCCGACCUGAGAGGGUGACCGGCCACACUGGAACUGAGCCACGGUCCAGACUCCUACGGGAGGCAGCAGUAGGGAAUCUUCCGCAAUGGGCGAAAGCCUGACGGAGCAACGCCGCGUGAGUGAAGAAGGUCUUCGGAUCGUAAAACUCUGUCAUUGGGGAAGCGGUACCUAAACAGAAAGCCACGGCUAACUACGUGCCAGCAGCCGCGGUAAUAC